UACGAGGGGUCCUAGCGUUGUUCGGAAUCAUUGGGCGUAAAGAGCUCGUAGGUGGCUUAGUAAGUCAGCUGUGAAAUCCCCGGGCUCAACCUGGGACUUGCAGUUGAAACUGGAAAGCUAGAGUAGGGUAGAGGGGUGUGGAAUUCCAGGUGUAGCGGUGAAAUGCGUAGAUAUCUGGAGGAACAUCAGUGGCGAAGGCGACACCCUGGACUCAUACUGACACUGAGGUGCGAAAGCGUGGGGAGCAAACAGG
rnacentral:rRNA from 1 species